CAGUAGCCACGGUAAUACGUAGGGUGCGAGCGUUAAUCGGAAUUACUGGGCGUAAAGCGUGCGCAGGCGGUUUUGUAAGACAGGCGUGAAAUCCCCGGGCUCAACCUGGGAAUGGCGCUUGUGACUGCAAAGCUAGAGUGCGGCAGAGGGGGAUGGAAUUCCGCGUGUAGCAGUGAAAUGCGUAGAUAUGCGGAGGAACACCGAUGGCGAAGGCAAUCCCCUGGGCCUGCACUGACGCUCAUGCACGAAAGCGUGGGGAGCAAACAGGAUUAGAUACCCGAGUAGUCCCUGUCUCUUAUAC
rnacentral:rRNA from 1 species